GACGAACCGUGCGAACGUUUAUUCGGAAUCACUGGGCUUAAAGCGCGUGUAGGCGGGACGACACGUCGGUCGCUGAAAUCCCCCGGCUCAACCGGGGGAACGGGCGCCGAUACGGUCGCUCUCGAGGGACGUAGGGGGACCUGGAACUUCCGGUGGAGCGGUGAAAUGCGUUGAGAUCGGAAGGAACGCCCGUGGCGAAAGCGGUUCUCUGGGACGGUACUGACGCUGAGACGCGAAAGCGUGGGGAGCGAACAGG
rnacentral:rRNA from 1 species